GACGAACGCUGGCGGCGUGCUUAACACAUGCAAGUCGAACGGAAAGGCCCUGCUUUUGUGGGGUGCUCGAGUGGCGAACGGGUGAGUAACACGUGAGUAACCUGCCCUUGACUUUGGGAUAACUUCAGGAAACUGGGGCUAAUACCGGAUAGGAGCUCCUGCUGCAUGGUGGGGGUUGGAAAGUUUCGGCGGUUGGGGAUGGACUCGCGGCUUAUCAGCUUGUUGGUGGGGUAGUGGCUUACCAAGGCUUUGACGGGUAGCCUGCCUGAGAGGGUGACCGGCCACAUUGGGACUGAGAUACGGCGCAGACUCCUACGGGAGGCAGCAGUGGGGAAUAUUGCACAAUGGGCGGAAGCCUGAUGCAGCAACGCCGCGUGCGGGAUGACGGCCUUCGGGUUGUAAACCGCUUUCGCCUGUGACGAAGCGUGAGUGACGGUAAUGGGUAAAGAAGCACCGGCUAACUACGUG
rnacentral:rRNA from 1 species